UACGUAGGGUGCGAGCGUUAAUCGGAAUUACUGGGCGUAAAGCGUGCGCAGGCGGUUUUGCAAGUCGGAUGUGAAAUCCCCGGGCUUAACCUGGGAAUGGCAUUUGGGACUGCAAGGCUGGAGUGCGGCAGAGGAGACUGGAAUUCCUGGUGUAGCAGUGAAAUGCGUAGAUAUCAGGAGGAACACCGAUGGCGAAGGCAGGUCUCUGGGCUGACACUGACGCUCAUGCACGAAAGCGUGGGGAGCAAACAGG
rnacentral:rRNA from 1 species